UACGUAGGGAGCGAGCGUUGUCCGGAUUCAUUGGGCGUAAAGAGCUUGUAGGCGGUUUGUCGCGUCUGCUGUGAAAUUUCGGGGCUCAACCCCGAACUUGCAGUGGGUACGGGCAGACUAGAGUGUGGUAGGGGAGACUGGAAUUCCUGGUGUAGCGGUGAAAUGCGCAGAUAUCAGGAGGAACACCGAUGGCGAAGGCAGGUCUCUGGGCCACUACUGACGCUGAGAAGCGAAAGCAUGGGGAGCGAACAGG
rnacentral:rRNA from 1 species